rnacentral:rRNA from 1 species
GAUGAACGCUGGCGGCGUGCCUAAUACAUGCAAGUCGAGCGAACGGACGAGAAGCUUGCUUCUCUGAUGUUAGCGGCGGACGGGUGAGUAACACGUGGAUAACCUACCUAUAAGACUGGGAUAACUUCGGGAAACCGGAGCUAAUACCGGAUGAUAUUUUGAACCGCAUGGUUCAAAAGUGAAAGACGGUCUUGCUGUCACUUAUAGAUGGAUCCGCGCUGCAUUAGCUAGUUGGUAAGGUAACGGCUUACCAAGGCAACGAUGCAUAGCCGACCUGAGAGGGUGAUCGGCCACACUGGAACUGAGACACGGUCCAGACUCCUACGGGAGGCGGCAGUAGGGAAUCUUCCGCAAAGGGCGAAAGCCUGACGGAGCAACGCCGCGUGAGUGAUGAAGGUCUUCGGAUCGUAAAACUCUGUUAUUAGGGAAGAACAUAUGUGUAAGUAACUGUGCACAUCUUGACGGUACCUAAUCAGAAAGCCACGGCUAACUACGUG